UGCCCAUAUAACAUUUGGAAACAGGUGCUAAUACCGUAUAACACUAUUUUCCGCAUGGAAGAAAGUUGAAAGGCGCUUUUGCGCCACUGAUGGAUGGACCCGCGGUGCAUUAGCUAGUUGGUGAGGUAACGGCUCACCAAGGCCACGAUGCAUAGCCGACCUGAGAGGGUGAUCGGCCACACUGGGACUGAGACACGGCCCAGACUCCUACGGGAGGCAGCAGUAGGGAAUCUUCGGCAAUGGACGAAAGUCUGACCGAGCAACGCCGCGUGAGUGAAGAAGGUUUUCGGAUCGUAAAACUCUGUUGUUAGAGAAGAACAAGGAUGAGAGUAAAACGUUCAUCCCUUGACGGUAUCUAACCAGAAAGCCACGGCUAACUACGUGCCAGCAGCCGCGGUAAUACGUAGGUGGCAAGCGUUGUCCGGAUUUAUUGGGCGUAAAGCGAGCGCAGGCGGUUUCUUAAGUCUGAUGUGAAAGCCCCCGGCUCAACCGGGGAGGGUCAUUGGAAACUGGGAGACUUGAGUGCAGAAGAGGAGAGUGGAAUUCCAUGUGUAGCGGUGAAAUGCGUAGAUAUAUGGAGGAACACCAGUGGCGAAGGCGGCUCUCUGGUCUGUAACUGACGCUGAGGCUCGAAAGCGUGGGGAGCGAACAGGAUUAGAUACCCUGGUAGUCCACGCCGUAAACGAUGAGUGCUAAGUG
rnacentral:rRNA from 1 species